GCAUAUCAAUAAGCGGAGGAAAAGAAACCAACAGGGAUUGCCCCAGUAACGGCGAGUGAAGCGGCAACAGCUCAAAUUUGAAAUCUGGCCCUAGGCCCGAAUUGUAAUUUGUAGAGGAUGUUUCUGGCGCGGCGCCUUCCGAGUUCCCUGGAACGGGACGCCAUAGAGGGUGAGAGCCCCGUACGGUUGUGUGCUAAGCCUCUGUGAAACUCCUUCGACGAGUCGAGUAGUUUGGGAAUGCUGCUCAAAAUGGGAGGUAUACGUCUUCUAAAGCUAAAUACCGGCCAGAGACCGAUAGCGCACAAGUAGAGUGAUCGAAAGAUGAAAAGCACUUUGAAAAGGGGGUUAAACAGUACGUGAAAUUGUUGAAAGGGAAACGAUUGAAGCCAGUCGUACCGACGGGAAAUCAACUUCUCGAGUGCCUAUCGUGGGUGACGUUGAGCCUUACGGCCUUCGUUGCUUGUGUUGUUGGUGCUUUUGGGGUGUACUUUUCCGUAUGGUAGGUCAGCAUCGAUUUCGUUCGUCAUAAAAUGAUCGGGGGAAUGUAGCUUCGGUCUCGUAUCGGAGUGUUAUAGACCUUGGUAGAUGUGACGAUUGGGAUCGAGGAUUGCAACGAAUACCCUUUUGGGCUAUCCGUCUGGCCUCUGAAAGUCGCUCGGGUGUCGAAAGCUUGCUUACGGCUAUCUGAGUUGGCGGUCAACAGGUUAGAACGUGAUUACAUUCGUUAAGGAUGUUGACGUA
rnacentral:rRNA from 1 species